rnacentral:rRNA from 1 species
GACGAACGCUGGCGGCGUGCCUAAUACAUGCAAGUAGAACGCUGAAGAGAGGAGCUUGCUCUUCUUGGAUGAGUUGCGAACGGGUGAGUAACGCGUAGGUAACCUGCCUUGUAGCGGGGGAUAACUAUUGGAAACGAUAGCUAAUACCGCAUAACAAUGGAUGACACAUGUCAUUUAUUUGAAAGGGGCAAUUGCUCCACUACAAGAUGGACCUGCGUUGUAUUAGCUAGUAGGUGAGGUAACGGCUCACCUAGGCGACGAUACAUAGCCGACCUGAGAGGGUGAUCGGCCACACUGGGACUGAGACACGGCCCAGACUCCUACGGGAGGCAGCAGUAGGGGAUCUUCGGCAAUGGGGGCAACCCUGACCGAGCAACGCCGCGUGAGUGAAGAAGGUUUUCGGAUCGUAAAGCUCUGUUGUAAGUCAAGAACGAGUGUGAGAGUGGAAAGUUCACACUGUGACGGUAGCUUACCAGAAAGGGACGGCUAACUACGUGCCAGCAGCCGCGGUAAUACGUAGGUCCCGAGCGUUGUCCGGAUUUAUUGGGCGUAAAGCGAGCGCAGGCGGUUUGAUAAGUCUGAAGUUAAAGGCUGUGGCUCAACCAUAGUUCGCUUUGGAAACUGUCAAACUUGAGUGCAGAAGGGGAGAGUGGAAUUCCAUGUGUAGCGGUGAAAUGCGUAGAUAUAUGGAGGAACACCGGUGGCGAAAGCGGCUCUCUGGUCUGUAACUGACGCUGAGGCUCGAAAGCGUGGGGAGCGAACAGG